rnacentral:rRNA from 1 species
GAUGAACGCUGGCGGCGUGCCUAAUACAUGCAAGUCGAGCGAACAGACGAGGAGCUUGCUCCUCUGACGUUAGCGGCGGACGGGUGAGUAACACGUGGAUAACCUACCUAUAAGACUGGGAUAACUUCGGGAAACCGGAGCUAAUACCGGAUAAUAUAUUGAACCGCAUGGUUCAAUAGUGAAGGACGGUUUUGCUGUCACUUAUAGAUGGAUCCGCGCCGCAUUAGCUAGUUGGUAAGGUAACGGCUUACCAAGGCGACGAUGCGUAGCCGACCUGAGAGGGUGAUCGGCCACACUGGAACUGAGACACGGUCCAGACUCCUACGGGAGGCAGCAGUAGGGAAUCUUCCGCAAUGGGCGAAAGCCUGACGGAGCAACGCCGCGUGAGUGAUGAAGGUCUUCGGAUCGUAAAACUCUGUUAUUAGGGAAGAACAAAUGUGUAAGUAACUAUGCACGUCUUGACGGUACCUGAUCAGAAAGCCACGGCUAACUACGUG